AAAAAGGUGGCACAGGGGAAGCGCGUGGGGCUCAUAACCCCAAGGUUGUAAGAUCAAAACCUACUUUUGCUA